GUGCCAGCAGCCGCGGUAAUACGUAGGGUGCGAGCGUUAAUCGGAAUUACUGGGCGUAAAGCGUGCGCAGGCGGUUCUGUAAGACCGAUGUGAAAUCCCCGGGCUUAACCUGGGAACUGCAUUGGUGACUGCAGGGCUAGAGUGUGUCAGAGGGAGGUGGAAUUCCGCGUGUAGCAGUGAAAUGCGUAGAGAUGCGGAGGAACACCGAUGGCGAAGGCAGCCUCCUGGGAUAACACUGACGCUCAGGCACGAAAGCGUGGGGAGCAAACAGGAUUAGAAACCCGUGUAGUCC
rnacentral:rRNA from 1 species